GACGAACGCUGGCGGCGCGCUUAACACAUGCAAGUCGAACGGAAAGGCCCUGCUUUUGUGGGGUGCUCGAGUGGCGAACGGGUGAGUAACACGUGAGUAACCUGCCCUUGACUUUGGGAUAACUUCAGGAAACUGGGGCUAAUACCGGAUAGGAGCUCCUGCUGCAUGGUGGGGGUUGGAAAGUUUCGGCGGUUGGGGAUGGACUCGCGGCUUAUCAGCUUGUUGGUGGGGUAGUGGCUUACCAAGGCUUUGACGGGUAGCCGGCCUGAGAGGGUGACCGGCCACAUUGGGGCUGGGGUACGGCCCAGACUCCUACGGGAGGCAGCAGUGGGGAAUAUUGCACAAUGGGCGGCAGCCUGAUGCAGCAACGCCGCGUGCGGGGUGACGGCCUUCGGGUUGUAGACCGCUUUCGCCUGUGACGAAGCGUGAGUGACGGUAAUGGGUAAAGAAGCACCGGCUAACUACGUG
rnacentral:rRNA from 1 species